rnacentral:sRNA from 1 species
UUUGUAAUGCUAUUUUACAUUUUUCUUUACACCAACGAUGUCUUACACGUGAGAAAUUUACUCUCACGUGUAAGACAUGUAAGACAUCGUUGGUGUAAAGAAAAAUUUAAAAUUGCACGUAAUUUUCAUUUUAA